rnacentral:rRNA from 1 species
CCUGCGGGAGGCGGCAGUGGGAAAUAUGGCGCAAGUGGCGAAAGCAGGAGGAGUCAAGGCAGAGGGAUGGAUGACGGCCUUCGGGUCGUAAAACACGGUCAUAAAGGAAGAUAAUGAGGGUACUGGAGGAGGAAGCCCCGGCUAACUACGGGCCAGCAGCCGAGGUAAUACGUAGGGGGCUAGCGUUAUACGGAUUGACUGGGCGUAAAGGGUGCGUAGGCGGUCUUUCAAGUCAGGAGUGAAAGGCUACGGCUCAACCGUAGUAAGCUCUUGAAACUGGGAGACUUGAGUGCAGGAGAGGAGAGUGGAAUUCCUAGUGUAGCGGUGAAAUGCGUAGAUAUUAGGAGGAACACCAGUUGCGAAGGCGGCUCUCUGGACUGUAACUGACGCUGAGGCACGAAAGCGUGGGGAGCAAACAGGAUUAGAUACCCUGGUAGUCCACGCUGUAAACGAUGAGUACUAGGUGUCGGGGGUUACCCCC